AACGAACGCUGGCGGCAUGCCUAACACAUGCAAGUCGAACGAGACCUUCGGGUCUAGUGGCGCACGGGUGCGUAACGCGUGGGAACCUGCCCUUAGGUUCGGAAUAACUCCCCGAAAGGGGUGCUAAUACCGGAUAAUGUCUUCGGACCAAAGAUUUAUCGCCUUUGGAUGGGCCCGCGUUGGAUUAGCUAGUUGGUAGGGUAAAAGCCUACCAAGGCGACGAUCCAUAGCUGGUCUGAGAGGAUGAUCAGCCACACUGGGACUGAGACACGGCCCAGACUCCUACGGGAGGCAGCAGUGUGGAAUAGUGGACAAUGGGCGAAAGCCUGAUCCAGCAAGGCCGCGUGAGUGAUGAAGGCCUUAGGGUUGUAAAGCUCUUUUACCCGAGAUGAUAAUGACAGUACCGGGAGAAUAAGCUCCGGCUAACUCCGUG
rnacentral:rRNA from 1 species